rnacentral:rRNA from 1 species
CCUACGGGUGGCAGCAGUGAGGAAUAUUGGUCAAUGGACGAGAGUCUGAACCAGCCAAGUAGCGUGAAGGAUGACUGCCCUAUGGGUUGUAAACUUCUUUUAUAAAGGAAUAAAACGAGGCACGUGUGCCUUUUUGCAUGUACUUUAUGAAUAAGGAACGGCUCACUCCGUGCCAGCAGCCGCGGUAAUACGGAGGGUCCGAGCGUUACCCGGAUUUACUGGGUUGAAAGGGAGCGUAGGUGGGUUGUUAAGUCAGUUGUGAAAGCUUGGGGCUCAACCUGGAAACUGCAAUUGAUACUGGCAGGCUUGAGUACAGUUGAGGGAGGUGGAAUUCGUGGUGUAGCGGUGAAAUGCGUAGAGAUCACGAAGAACCCCGAUGGCGAAGGCAGCUCACUAAACUGUGACUGACAUUGAUGUUCGAAAGUGUGGGUAUCAAACAGGAUUAGAUACCCCAGUAGUC